rnacentral:rRNA from 1 species
GACAGAGGGUGCAAACGUUGUUCGGAAUUACUGGGCGUAAAGCGAGUGUAGGCGGUCUCCUAAGUCGGGUGUGAAAGUCCUGGGCUCAACCUGGGAACUGCGCUUGAUACGGCAGAGCUAGAGGAUGGAAGAGGGUCGCGGAAUUCCCAGUGUAGAGGUGAAAUUCGUAGAUAUUGGGAAGAACACCGGUGGCGAAGGCGGCGACCUGGUCCAUUACUGACGCUGAGGCGCGACAGCGUGGGGAGCAAACAGG